CACAGCAUGAGCCGGUGCUCGACUCGUAGAGUCUUGCUGAGAACAUACGGUUGAACUUGAAUCUGGGCAAUACCAGCGGAAGAAUCAUGCUCUCCACUCCU
rnacentral:ncRNA from 1 species